UACGGAGGGUGCGAGCGUUGUUCGGAAUCACUGGGCGUAAAGGGCGUGUAGGCGGUCCGCUAAGUCUGAUGUGAAAGCCCGGGGCUCACCCCCGGAAGGGCAUUGGAAACUGACGGACUCGAGUCCCGAAGAGGAGGGUGGAAUUCCUGGUGUAGCGGUGAAAUGCGUAGAUAUCAGGAGGAACACCGGUGGCGAAGGCGGCCCUCUGGACGGUGACUGACGCUGAGACGCGAAAGCGUGGGUAGCAAACAGG
rnacentral:rRNA from 1 species